UACGGGAGGCAGCAGUGGGGAAUAUUGCACAAUGGGCGCAAGCCUGAUGCAGCCAUGCCGCGUGUAUGAAGAAGGCCUUCGGGUUGUAAAGUACUUUCAGUCGUGAGGAAGGUGUUAAGGUUAAUAACCUUAGCAAUUGACGUUAGCGACAGAAGAAGCACCGGCUAACUCCGUGCCAGCAGCCGCGGUAAUACGGAGGGUGCGAGCGUUAAUCGGAAUUACUGGGCGUAAAGGGCACGCAGGCGGUUAAUUAAGUUGGAUGUGAAAUCCCCGGGCUUAACCUGGGAAUGGCAUUCAAGACUGGUUAGCUAGAGUCUUGUAGAGGGGGUAGAAUUCCAUGUGUAGCGGUGAAAUGCGUAGAGAUGUGGAGGAAUACCGGUGGCGAAGGCGGCCCCUGGGACAAAGACUGACACUGAGGUGCGAAAGCGUGGGGAGCAAACAGGGAUUAGAUACC
rnacentral:rRNA from 1 species